GUGUGUUAGAGGUUAGUGUGUUAGGGGUUAGUGUGUUAGAGGUUAGUGUGUUAGGGGUUAGUUGGUUAGGGGUUAGUGUGUUAGGGCUUAGUUGCCUGACUGUCUCUAUCUGUGUCUCCCCCUCUCUCUUUUUGGGUAUCUCUCUCUUUUUCUUUCCAUGUCUCUGUCUAUCUUUCAGUGUCACUUUGGGUUGCUUUAUCUCUCUCUUUCUGUGUCUCUCUCUCUCUCUCGUGUUUCUCUCUUUUCAUCUCUUGUGUCUCUCAUUCUCUGUCUGUAUCACUGUCUCUAUCCCACACUUUUUCUUUUUGUGUGUCUUUUUCUAUAACUCUCACUGUCUCUGUUGUUUUGGGUGUAUCUCUCUCUCUCGUUCUCUCUUUGGGUGUCUCUCGCUCAGUCUGUCUUUCUCUUCAAGUGUCUCUCUCUCUCUCUGUCUAUAUCUCUCGCUCUCUCUUUU
ensembl:lncRNA